GUGCAGCAGUCGCGAAACCUCCGCAAUACACGAAAGUGUGACGGGGCCAUCCCGAGUGCCGUCCGCUGAGGACGGCUUUUCCCCAGUGUACACAGCUGGGGGAAUAAGGAGAGGGCAAGCCUGGUGUCAGCCGCCGCGGUAAUACCAGCUCUCCGAGUGGUGGGGACGCUUAUUGGGCCUAAAGCAUCCGUAGCCGGCUGGGCAAGUCCUCCGUUAAAUCCAACGAUUCAAUCGUUGGGCUGCGGGGGAUACUGUCCAGCUUGGGGGCGGGAGAGGCCGACGGUAUUCCCGGGGUAGGGGUGAAAUCCUAUAAUCCCGGGAGGACCACCAGUGGCGAAGGCUGUCGGCUAGAACGCGCCCGACGGUGAGGGAUGAAAGCU
rnacentral:rRNA from 1 species